rnacentral:rRNA from 1 species
ACCGCCCGUCACACCAUGGGAGCGGGAUGUACCAGAAGCAGCUAGCCUAACCGACAAGGAAGGGCGGUUGCCACGGUGACGUUUCGUGACUGGGGUG